AUGUCAGUCACAUUUACAGUUGAACUCACUAAAAUCACAAUGGCAUUUCUUUACAGCACCAUAUUACUCUUUGGGAAUUUAGGGAAAAUACUUUCAGAUUCCAUUUCUCCAGACAAAGUUGAAGUUCAUCUGACAGAAGGCAGUAAUGCAACACUCUCCUGCACAUACGAUGGCUCUCCAUACAGUUUCCUUUGGUAUCGGCAAAAGCCAGGGGCAAGCCCAGAAUUCCUGAAACUUAUAACGGAGUCAACAAGUUAUGUACAAGAAGCAAAGCCACCUUUCAGGCAAAUGUCCACUAAGUUUGAUGGAAAAGCUAAAAGGGUCCAUCUGGAGAUCUCCUCAACUCAAGGCUCAGACUCUGCUCUGUACUACUGCGCCCUGCAGCCCACAGUGAUGGAAGCUCAAUCUACCCUGCACAAAAACCUCACAGCAACAGGAAGGGGAGCCAUAAACAUGCCGGGUCCUUUUCUAUGUAUUCAAUACUCAAACAUCAUAUCAAUUCAAGAUUCUUUGGUUAUGAGGAUCAUCUUUGAUGUGGCACUGCCAUAA